rnacentral:rRNA from 1 species
UCCCGCGUAAUUUAAGCAUAUUAAUAAGCGGAGGAAAAGAAACUAACUAGGAUUCCCUCAGUAGCUGCGAGCGAACAGGGAAGAGCCCAGCACCGAAUCCUGCGCGCCUCGCGCGCGUCUGGAAAUGUGGUGUUUGGGAGGGCCCACACAAUCUCGCCCGGGCGUGUCAGUCCAAGUCCAUCUUGAAAGUGGCCACAGCCCGUAGAGGGUGCCAGGCCCGUAGGACGACGCGUCGCGUUCCCGGGCGAAAGGGUCAGAGUUCAAGAGUACGUGAAACCGUUUGGGGGUAAACGGACGAAAUCUGGAAAAUCGAAGGGAGUGAUUCACGCCCGUCCGCCAUCACGUGCGUCGCGGCGGUCGCCGAUGGCGUUCGAUCGGUCCCGUCCGGCCCGCAAGGGUCGGCACGGAUCGCCGGUCCCGUCACGCGCGUGCCGUUUAGCGACCGCGGGCGCGGGCUGCACUUCACUCCUUGUAGUACGUCGCGACCCGUUGGGUGUGCGUCCAGGACCCGCGCGUGGAGCCGACGGGCGGUGGCAUUCGCGGCUCCCUCCGGGGGGUCGUGCCACCGUCCGCCGACCGCUGCGGUGCUCCGACGCACUCGCCCGACGGUAAGAGCGAAGACGAACGAGGCGAAAAGAAUCGACCCCGGUCGACGGCCCUCGGGCCCGCCUCGCGUCAGCGACGAUCCAAUCAGAGCAUCAUCCGACCCGUCUUGAAACACGGACCAAGGAGUCUAACAUGUGCGCGAGUCAUUGGGACCGCAACGAAACCUAAAGGCGUAAUGAAAGUGAAGGCCGCGGCGCGAGCCCGUGCCCACAAAGAGGGGAGAUGUCCGUCGUUCGCCUUGUCGGCGCGGACCGCAUCCCCGGGACGUCUCGUUGUCAUCGCGACACAGUAGGCGUACCCAGAGCGUACACGUUGGGACCCGAAAGAUGGUGAACUAUGCCUGGUCAGGUCGAAGUCAGCUGGCGUUCGGAAUAUACCUUUGUGUUCGUUUGAUUACGUUCACCGACCAGUCUCAUCUGGUAAAGCGAAUGAUUAGAGGCCUUGGGGCCGAAACGACCUCAACCUAUUCUCAAACUUUAAAUGGGUGAGAUACUCGACUUGCUCGAAAGAUGAAGUCGAGGCGCGCGCGUCCCUCGCAAGGGGGACGCGCGCGUGACAGUGGAUGAACGAGUGCCAAGUGGGCCAAUUUUGGUAAGCAGAACUGGUGCUGUGGGAUGAACCAAACGUCGAGUUAAGGCGCCUAAAUCGAUGCUCAUGGGAUACCAUGAAAGGCGNNNNNNNNNNNNNNNNNNNNNNNNNNNNNNNNNNNNNNNNNNNNNNNNNNGGAAUCCGUUUCCUAUUACGGAACCCGGCAGCGGAACCGACCAUGCGGGCCAAUGUCGGACGCCCGCCCUUCGUCCGCUCCGGCGGGCGAUUGCGGCGGUGUCGCACGGCAACUCGUCGGGGUAACCCAAAAGGACCCGGAGACGCCGUCGGAUGAUCGAGGCAGAGUUUUCUGUUCUGUAUGAGCGUUCGAGUUCCCUGGAAUCGCCUAGCGCGGAGAUAGGGUUUGGAACGCGAAGAGCACCGCACUUGCGGCGGUGUCUCGAUCUAUCCCUCGGACCUUGAAAAUCCGGGAGAGGGCCACGUGGAGGUGUCGCGCCGGUUCGUACCCAUAUCCGCAGCAGGUCUCCAAGGUGAGCAGCCUCUAGUCGAUAGAA